GUUAAGGAUACGAGAAAGACUAUUUAGAGCUAGGGUGUGUGCACAGGUUGUAUCUGGCGUGUUGGUGCGCUUGUACUUGCUCUGACAGUUUUGCUCUCACUGUGAGUCGAUUCCGCUGGUGAGCGAGUCUAGCGCGUGGGUACGGGCAGCGAGCGUAUAGAGAUUGCAUUGUUAUUGUCACCAGCUCAGAUAGAAUGUUUGCCUAGCAAAUACACGGAUGGGAACCAAGCCUCAAGACUACAGUUCAUACCAAUCCAUUGGACGAGAAAAGCGCUUGGAGACACAGGGGCGGGGGAGAUGGAGAAAAUUGUUAAUUCGUACUAUAGCGCUAUAUGAGACGCAUAGGCUACAUGGCCGUUUCUAGCCUCUCCACCCUUAAUAUUAUCCAACCAUUUUAUUUCCAAAGCAAAUUAAAAGAUGGACAGACAGCAAAUGUCGAGGCGGCGUCUUUAAUCAGGCGCUAUAGGCUGUAAAGUGGGGAGAAUCUAAACGUGACGUCAAUGCCUAGUAACUGACGCAGCCCCUCCACAAAAAAAAAUAGGGCUUUUUUCUUUUUUCGUCAGCAAGCUUAUUUUUUUCCGAUAAAAAGCCUAAACCACCGGGAUAACGUGGGGUUAUCCAUGUUAUGUGAAGGGACCUGAUAUAUUUCUUAUGUAUAGGCCUAUUUUCUGAAUUGCAAAUCAACCAACUGCUGUGUAGUGAAUUCUUCAGCGAAAGUUGCAUGGAGACAGGCGCGAGAAGGCGCCAGAAGAGCUGAGCGAGAGCACGCGAAAUCAAAUAUACAUAAUAACAAUAAUAUACGACAAGUACGAAUGAGAGCGAUACGGAGAGGCAGCUCUUGUGCAGAGUUGGUAGAUGAAAAUGUAUGUAGCCUUCAUUACAUGCGCUCCACGUAACGUUCCUGAGCGAUGCCUUUUGGCCCCUGGCCCCUGCUAUAUGGUGAGAGGCUAACUUGACGAAGAAGGGCUACGCCAUGUUACAUCCUGGCCAGAAACGUCGACUCUCUUGGGAUUUCAUCGUCUCCAUUGAGAAAGAUGUUCGUGGUGGGGGCUCAGAGCAGUGUGAAUAACUACUACUGACGUAACUCACAAAACAGAUGGACGUGACAUAUGAAGAGUGCUGAAUGUAUUUCUAUCCUAAUUUACAAUUACAUGUGGAAUUGUUGUAUUCAUUUGAUGGGUAUAGACUGUAAGUCAUGUCCCUUUGAUGCACGCUCAUAAGAUCUCAAAUGCUGAAAUAUCUUUUCAUUGGUUGUAAACGUUUUUGCCACAUUUUUGUUGUUGUUGCUGUCUUUAAUUUAGAGAUGAAUUCUGAUGGACCUUUAUAAAAUGGCACUAUAGUUGGUAAAGUUAAGUCAUAAGCUAUCUAAGCAGGAUGAUACAUAAAAUAGGCUACCUCUUAAUGAAUAACCCCUGUUUGAGUAAUAUCCUAUCACCUGAAGAGAUAUAUUAAUAAUGUAAGAAUAUUCUGUCAAUUUGCUACUAUGCCAAAUAGGCUACGUUACAAAAGUGAGAUAAACGUCUGAAACGCCAGUUCAUCCAAGCCAUUACGUAGGCGCUACCUAUCACGUAUAUAUCGAAUGAUCUUCACUUCUGUCAAAGAAUGCAAAUGGUUGAAUGAUGACUUGUCAAAAGUCAAUCGUUUUUUCCUACUGUGCACAUUUUGCUGAGCACAUUGCAUUGGUAAAAUGUUCUAAGGCAUUUGUGGUUUGUUCAUAUUUCAUGUUUAGUUUACAUGUCGGUGCAGGCAUACAGCUAAUAGACUAUGGCGACAGCGGGGUGUCUUCCAGGCAAGAAUAUCCCAGGAUACACUGUUGUGAGACGCUCUGUCUGGAUUGCAGGCUGACGCACUGUACAUCAAAAUGCCCAACAACAAGUCUACAUUUUUCCACAGUCGUGACAUCGCGCAAAGGAGACGCAUAUUCUCUCAAUAAUCAUGUUCGAGAUGUCAUUGUGGCUCACAAAUGUACAGUGCAACGGAAUAAAAUGUUAGAAAUUCACUGACUGUCUCUCUGUUUAUGUAAUCACACAUCUCCCC
ensembl:lncRNA